UAGUCGGAGGUGUGUCUCGGACGGUCGGUUCGCCGCUUGUCGGUGCUCAACUGGCCGGUCCGGACGUCCUGCCGGUGGGGCCGUGAGGCCCCGUUAUCCUUCUUUGGUCCUCUUCACCGAGUGCCUUGGUGGGCCGGCACGUUUACUUUGAACAAAUUAGAGUGCUCAAAGCAGGCCGUUGGUCGCCUGAAUACUGUGUGCAUGGAAUAAUGGAAUAGGACCUCGGUUCCAUUUUGUUGGUUUUCAGAACUCGAGGUAAUGAUUAAUAGGGACGGACGGGGGCAUUCGUAUUGCGACGUUAGAGGUGAAAUUCUUGGAUCGUCGCAAGACGAACCGAUGCGAAAGCAUUUGCCAAGAACGUUUUCGUUGAUCAAGAACGAAAGUUAGAGGUUCGAAGGCGAUCAGAUACCGCCCUAGUUCUAACCAUAAACGAUGCCAGCUAGCCAUCCGCCGAAGUUCCUUCUAUGACUCGGCGGGCAGCUUCCGGGAAACCAAAGCUCUUGGGUUCCGGGGGAAGUAU
rnacentral:rRNA from 1 species